rnacentral:rRNA from 1 species
AAAUUGAAGAGUUUGAUCAUGGCUCAGAUUGAACGCUGGCGGCAGGCCUAACACAUGCAAGUCGAGCGGUAGCACAGAGAGCUUGCUCUCGGGUGACGAGCGGCGGACGGGUGAGUAAUGUCUGGGAAACUGCCUGAUGGAGGGGGAUAACUACUGGAAACGGUAGCUAAUACCGCAUAACGUCGCAAGACCAAAGUGGGGGACCUUCGGGCCUCAUGCCAUCAGAUGUGCCCAGAUGGGAUUAGCUAGUAGGUGGGGUAACGGCUCACCUAGGCGACGAUCCCUAGCUGGUCUGAGAGGAUGACCAGCCACACUGGAACUGAGACACGGUCCAGACUCCUACGGGAGGCAGCAGUGGGGAAUAUUGCACAAUGGGCGCAAGCCUGAUGCAGCCAUGCCGCGUGUGUGAAGAAGGCCUUCGGGUUGUAAAGCACUUUCAGCGGGGAGGAAGGCGAUAAGGUUAAUAACCUUGUCGAUUGACGUUACCCGCAGAAGAAGCACCGGCUAACUCCGUGCCAGCAGCCGCGGUAAUACGGAGGGUGCAAGCGUUAAUCGGAAUUACUGGGCGUAAAGCGCACGCAGGCGGUCUGUCAAGUCGGAUGUGAAAUCCCCGGGCUCAACCUGGGAACUGCAUUCGAAACUGGCAGGCUAGAGUCUUGUAGAGGGGGGUAGAAUUCCAGGUGUAGCGGUGAAAUGCGUAGAGAUCUGG